GAUGAACGCUGGCGGCGUGCCUAAUACAUGCAAGUCGAGCGAGAAGCUUUAGAGUGACGCUUCGGUUGAACGAUAAAGUGGAAAGCGGCGGACGGGUGAGUAACGCGUAGGCAACCUGCCCUUAGCAGAGGGAUAGCCAUUGGAAACGAUGAUUAAAACCUCAUAACAUCGUAGCUACACAUGUAGCAUCGGUCAAAGAUUUAUCGGCUAAGGAUGGGCCUGCGUCUGAUUAACUAGUUGGUGAGGUAACGGCUCACCAAGGUGACGAUCAGUAGCCGACCUGAGAGGGUGAUCGGCCACAUUGGAACUGAGACACGGUUCAAACUUC
rnacentral:rRNA from 1 species